UGACCCAGCAACACAGAAGGAACAACAAUAUAUUUCCACGUCAGGAUGAUGAAUGGUUCGCAAGGGAACUAGCUGGUGGGAAAAGCACAGGAAGAGGAAAUCAGUCAGAGCUCUUCCUCCUCCUAAUUACUACAGAACUACUCACUCCAAAACACGAGGAUGUACCUCAGGUGAAAACAGGAUCAGGUUAGAUUCUGAUGCCACCUAUAGUCAAGCAGUAUGCUAACGUGCAACAUCUGAGAUUAGACAUGAGGAUUAGCCAGACACAGAAGCAAUCCUUCGCAAUGUGAACUGAACCUCAGAAGCAGUCAACAGCUUCAGGAAAGAAGGGGACAAACAUCGGGGCAAAAUAAAUACAAGCAUGAUGCUACCAGAACUGCUGAGUUUCUUCAGCAUUCCCUGUGUUUGUUUCUACUGAAUAUCUACUGGAUAUUGCAAUCAAGAUCAAAAUUAUUUCAGAGGAAAUCACUGGUACAAUGAAAAACUCUAAUCACUGGGCUGCAGUGCAAGACAUUGUUUUCCUAUUAAAGUGGAUUUUACAUGACAGCAGGAUAUUGCUAAAAGGAUUUCAUCACAUUGCCUUCACCUGCCAAGUCAGUCAGCUCUCAACAUGUAUGUGCAAGGAACGGUGAGGUCCCAAGAGCCUGGCCAGCGGGAGAAUCACUUUCAAUCUCUGGAGCAGGCAUUUAAAAUUAUUAAAAUUGCUACUUCACACAUCGCCAUCAGCAGUUUCUCACAGCUGGGGGAAUUAAUACCUAGCUAUUGUAUCAUGUUUUAUAUUUGCAACUAAAGUUGAAGACUGCAUUAAAUUAAAUUUAAUCUACCAGAAAAUAAUUCAUUCUAGAUGUCAUCUUUCCAACCACAUGAAAAGGCGUUUUUGAAGGAGCAGCAGAAUGAUUGAUUAAGUGAAUUGAUUUCUGACAGAUGACCACAAAGUUGAACAACAGAGACCCACUUAAACGACACCAGUGAUCAACCUCGUGACCCUUAACUGUGCCGACUCCAGCAACUGAAAUGACUAGACAUGGAUGCAGUAAUCAUCUGACCAAAAUACAAUACAAUUGGCUGCAACUUUCUCAGAAUUGUAAGCUGCUGUUUUGACUACAUUUUGUGUGGUAUUCUAUUUGCUUUGCUGAUUUUAAUGGUGGAACAUAACUAUAAAGUUCUAAAGCCUAUCAAUCUCCUUCUACUUCAUGUUUAGCUGUUUCAACAUCAAUCAGGUAUACAUAUGCUAUCAAAUUUUUCUUACAUUGUGCAGUACAGGACCUUAACUGUAUUAAAUUUCUUUAGUUGUUAUUUCAUCAAAUAAUAUUUCCAUGUUGCCAGUUCAAAAGCCAACUAAAACUGAGACUCUGAAUUCCAGUUAUUUAUGAGAUUUAACAAUACUAAUGAUCUUGUUACAAAUAUCUGGGGAGAUCCAACACAACAUUUGCUCCAACCUAAUAUCAGAACAAAUAAUUCCUACUUCUUUUCCCCUUCUAGCUAGGUUUCUUUCUAUUCCUAUCCUGAACCUUCAAUGCUUUGGACUUAAUAAGUAGGCUUUCACGUGGAUCUUUUGCCAAUUGUAUUAGGGACUAAAAAGUGUGUAUUCAUACAGUGUAUUUAAAAGACUCAUGAUAUCUUAAACUGCUUUAUUGCUAUUGAAGUAUGUUUGAAGUGAAGUCAAUGUUAUUUGUAGCAAUGUUGUAAUAAAUCAUAUUGCAAUCUGGACAUAGUUUAAUAUAACAUAAACAUGGGCUCUGCACUCAGCUCAAGGAACCUGAACUUGGAAUCCUACUGGUAUCGCUAAGUUACGCAUUGGGUCUUCUUGCCAAAUGAUUUAAUGGGUGCAUUUUAAUCACUAAUUAGCUGGAUUGUAAGAUGCACUGGUGAAGACUGAAUUUGGUGCCAAACUUGAGGAAUUUGCUAGUUGUGUCUGAAAAUCUUUGAAUGAGACGUUGAUGAUGCAAUGAGGAAGAAGUAGUCACUUGUGUUUAUAUGGAACAGAAAAUCCAAGAUGUGUGGCAAAUAAUCAAGAGCAGCCACUGGACACAUUUCUUUAAUUUACUGAUACCACACAAACAGAUGAGUGCUUUUUGAUUUGGAAUCAACAUCGCAUAGAAAUUGCAGAGAUUGGAUAGCAAAAUGAUACUGUUUUCUUCCAGGAAAGUUUAGCGGGUGGACUUGCAUUCACUUCCAAAAUUAUGCUUUAAACAAAUGGUAAAUUUGGAAGAGAAAUAAAGAUUUGAAUUUAAAUGCAUUGAUCCGGUUUACUUUUAUGUACAAUCAAAUGUGCGUUGCACGCUUCUAUUACAGGACUCAUGAAUAUUAAAAUGAAAUUUCCUAAAA